rnacentral:rRNA from 1 species
CCUACGGGAGGCAGCAGUGGGGAAUUUUGGACAAUGGGGGGCAACCCUGAUCCAGCAAUGCCGCGUGAGUGAAGAAGGCCUUCGGGUUGUAAAGCUCUUUUGUCAGGGAAGAAACGGGUGGGGCUAAUAUCCUCAUCUAAUGACGGUACCUGAAGAAUAAGCACCGGCUAACUACGUGCCAGCAGCCGCGGUAAUACGUAGGGUGCAAGCGUUAAUCGGAAUUACUGGGCGUAAAGCGUGCGCAGGCGGUUAUGUAAGUCAGAUGUGAAAUCCCCGGGCUCAACCUGGGAACUGCAUUUGAGACUGCAUGGCUAGAGUGUGUCAGAGGGGGGUAGAAUUCCACGUGUAGCAGUGAAAUGCGUAGAUAUGUGGAGGAAUACCGAUGGCGAAGGCAGCCCCCUGGGAUAACACUGACGCUCAUGCACGAAAGCGUGGGGAGCAAACAGGAUUAGAUACCCUGGUAGUCCACGCCCUAAACGAUGUCUACUAGUUGUCGGGACUUAAUUGUCUUGGUAACGCAGCUAACGCGUGAAGUAGACCGCCUGGGGAGUACGGUCGCAAGAUUAAAACGUCAAAGGAAUUGACGG